GAAAGCAUGGAUCCCUCAUGGUUUAGGGAGUGGAACUUGAGAGACUUCAGCAAUCUUCUCUCUUGUUGGAUUCUGGUCUGUCAUGAUUCUGGAUAUUGUGAUAUCUUUUCUUAUUUGGAGCUUUCUCUCUUAUUUGAACGUCGCUAUCUCCUCCCUUGCUUGGAGCUUUGUUUAAUAUUACGAUUUUCUUCCUCAUUUGGAGCCGUAGUCUCCUUCCUCACUUGGAGUGAUCUCCUUCCCUAUUUGGAGCCCCUCAGUUUUUGAGAUCUAAUCGAUGUUUGAGCCGAUCUAAUUUUUAGAAACUUGGUGG
rnacentral:lncRNA from 1 species